rnacentral:tRNA from 1 species
AUCUCGGUAGCUUAGUGGUCAAAGCGUGAGUAUAAAAAACUCAAGAUCGCAGGUUCAAAUCCCGCCCGAGGUU